UUUGAUUAGGAUUUGAUUUAGGAUUAGGAUUUGGUUAGGAUUUGAUUUAGGAUUAGGAUUUGAUUAAGAUUUUAUUUGGAAUUAAGAUUUGGUUAAGAUUUUAUUUGGAAUUAAGAUUUGGUUAGGAAUUGGCUUAGGAUUAAGGAUUUGGUUUAGGAUUUGAUUUAGGAUUUAGGAUUUGAUUUAGGAUUUAAGAUUUGAUUAGGAUUUUAUUUAGGAUUAGGAUUUGGUUAGGAAUUGAUGUAGAAUUUAGGAUUUGGUGAGGAUUUGUUUUAAGAUUUAGGAUUUUAUUUGAAUUUAUUUAGGAUUUAAGAUUUAAUUAGUUUUUGGCCUAAAGUUUGAAUGAAGUCCAAUAGGAUUUCAACUAGGAUUAAAUUAAGAUUGAAUUGAGAUGUAUUUGAAAUAUUUUAGUAAUCAUUUUAAUAUUUCUUUAAGAUUUCUUAUUGUUUCUUUGUAAUUCCUUUGAGGUUUCUCUGAAUUUGAUUAAAGCUUAUUUAGCAUUGUUAGUAUUCUAUUAGAAUUAGGAUUUUCUUGUAGCAAUUUCCACUCUACCUACCACAGCCAAGUGCCUAGAGUAUUCUUAAGCAAGACUUCACGUAUUACGAUAGCAUGGC
rnacentral:lncRNA from 1 species